GCACGCGAACUUAACCACUCAGCCACGGGGCCAGCCCCCUCAGAUAAAAUUUUUAAAUAACCACUUUUUUUUAACAGGAGUACUCUUCACCUCUCUAUUCAAUAAUAAAUGCAAACAAGAUCAUUCAUUACCACCACCAGUCAACUCAAACCACCAUUCUGAUACAUUUUCCACAGAAGUUCCAAGUUUCUGUUAUUGGUUGUCAGUCUUCCCGAGGCCUACUCCUUCAUUUUAUUUUCAUCCACCAUUCCUUCUACUCCUUAUCCUUUCCUAGAACACUUGUCCUAUGCGCCCAUUAAUCUUCAAACUGUGAUACUGUUUUAUCCAUAUAGAAUAGCCUCUAAAUAACACAAUCUACUAUGAUUAUGCAUUAAACUCAAUGGAUUCUUUGUCCAUCAGAAUAUUUUCUAUAGUGUAAAAUCACUCACUGUUUCAUGUAUUAAUAAAAAACUGUCAGAGUUCAACUUGGUGGUAACGCCAAGAACUAAUGGAAAGCCAAAAAAUUUAACAUCUUCACAUCAGCCCAAUUCAAGUGGAAAUCAUGUUCUUCACCUCAAAAGAUUACAGAAACUUGUAUUUAAUACCUGAUGAAUUAUUCAGUGAGAAAAGCAGUGAUAUUUGCAACUAUUAACACAAAUAAAUUAGUUUUAAAUUAAUUCAAAGAAUAAAGAGAAAAGGCAGUGUUCUAAAUAGAAAAGAUAAGUAACUAUAUAAUAAUACACAGCUGUAUCAAAGAGUUUCUGGAGAUUAUGAAAAAAAGAUACUCUUACAGCCAUAUUCUCAAUGAGAUAUUUUCAGUUCUUCAGCCAGUCAUCACGAAAAGGCAGCACCCCAGCCCUGACAUUGUAGGGCCUGGUUUGGGGGCGGGGGUGGGGCGGGUAUGGGAGGUAAAAGCUCUCUUUGGCCAAAAUAAGGACGGAAAAUCCCCAGCUGCACCCAGAUUAAUACCAUAAUACGCUAUGGAGGUUGAAGUAACUGCAUAUAAAAAGAUCACUGUGUUUUUAAGCCAAAGCUCUGAAAAGCUAAAGAAUUUGUCUCUGGAUCUCACGUAAACUUUUGAGCAGAAAAUCCCAGAGCAAACACUCUACAACUUUUAAAUCCUCAGAUUUGUUAUCUUCCCAUAUCAUUCUCUCCACAAAAAAAGUUAAUUUUUAAAGUUCACUGAUGAGACCAAAUAGCUAACAAUACAUUUAUGAAAAAAAACAACAAAGCAGUUCUCCUGCUUUAUUUCCAACUCAACUUAGUUCAAAUUACUCUCCAGCAAUUAUUUUAUGCCUUUCUGUUUAACUCCAUAGUCUAUCGCAGUGUUGUGGAUUGAAUUCUGUCCCCCAUAAAGACACAUGAAAAUCUUAACUCCUGGUACCUAUGAAUGGGAUCUUAUUUGGAAUUAGGGUCUUUGCAGAUGUAAUCAAGUUAAGAUGAGGUCAUUCUGGAUUAGGGUGGGCCCUAAAACCAAGGACCAGUGAUAUUAUAAGGUGAGAGAGAGACCUGAAGAUACAGCAGAAACCCAGCGAAGGCAGCCAAGGGAAGGAGGCAAAGAUGAGAACUAUGACAUCAUAAACCAAGGAAUGCCAAGGACUUCCGGUAACCACCAGAAGCUAAAGGAGGCAAAGAAGAAAAGUUCUUCCCUAGAGACUUUAAAGGGAGCAUGACCCUGUUGACACCUUGAUUUUGGACUUGCACUCUCCAGACCUGUGAGAAAAUAUAGUUCUAUUGUUUUAAGCCACCCAGUUUGCGGUAAUUUGCUAUGGCAUCCCUAGGACACUAAUACAGGGGAGUAGGAGUUAACAGUCCUGAACCUGCUUUACUUGUCUACCGGGAGCUGAACCAAUAAGUCAACGGACAGUAGAUGGUGGGACGUAUCUCACCUUUGGAGAAAGAAGGAAAGAUAUGCAAGCGUGUGUGCUGAAUCAAGGAUAUAUAUACCUUACAUAAGUUAUUGAGAGAAUUUCUGGUUCAAGAUCAUUGCCCGAACGCACAAAGUUAUAUUUUCUCCCUUCCAAGACUCAAUGAAAUGACACAAAAGUAACAAGGUAGAAACUCACAGCAAUGAACAAUACAGGACCAUCAGCAAAAGAAAUUACAACAAAAUUCCAGAAGCUGGAAAAUGAGGAGUGUUAAUUAUUGAAUUAGGACACGAAAUGGCAUAAAAUACCAGUCUUGGGAAUGUAGCACAGAGAGUUCAUCUGUCUGGGGAACAUUAAAGAGGCUCUAAUCUUGGAAAUAUCAGGUACAAAAGCAGGCUAACCCUAUUCUACGAUACGAAUUAUAAACAAACCCAAAACAAAGCAGGAGGUAUAAAACUGUGAGGGUGGAAGUAGAAGUAUCAUUGUUUUACGUAAGUUGGCUGGGGAACCGUCCUAGGGAGGGGGAAUUUGAGGAAAGAGACACACGAAAAAAGUAAGAAAGCAAGGAAGAAGAACAGAAAUCAUUUUUUAAGCAAUGAUGAUAAUGCAAAGAACUGCACUAAACAAUUUAAAAAUCAUAUAAUUAAAUCCUCAUAGUAUAUAACAAAGUUAUCUCCGAUUUAGAGAUGAAAAAACUCAGGCUCCAAGAAGUGAGAAAUUAUUCAAGGUUGUACAGAUAAUUAAAUGAUAACAGGUUUAAACAAAGUUUUAAGCUCUUAACUACCAUAUUAGUAAGAGUAGUAGUUUCACCUUUUGGGAACUAGUUUACUCAUUUAUAUAAUGGUCUGAUUAAUUGCCUCUAAAGUCCCACCCAAUUCUAACACUAUGACUAAUUGUUACCAAAGAAAAUAACCCUAUUUAUUAUCUAUAGCUUAAGAAAAUAUUCCAUUAGAAUGCCUGAAAGCUUGAAAAAAAAAGUCUAUAAUGGGACAUUUUAUUUAAUAUUUCUGGAAUAUCACCAGCUUCCCACUGAAAGUAAUGCCUUUAAAAGCAGUUUUUAAAAAAAUGUAACAAAUUUUUACAUUUAGACAAAAUUUAGUUUGUUUGACUUUUAUUUCCUUCCUGAACUCAACUUUUUUCUUUUGUGUAUCAACUUAUUCUUGAGGGACUCUGAAAUCAAUUUCAAUAGUAAGGCACAUAGAAUAAUAUACUAAGAUGUUAUUUCAGAUCAAUCAAGUAGAAAACUCACUAUUACAACUGUCAACAUACUCUGUCAACUUUAUUCCAAGGGGCCAAAUAUGAAUGAGAACAUUUAACCAAAUUUACAAUAAAAUGAAGAGCUCGAAGAAUAUUCAUUCACAAACUAAAUAAGGCUGUGCAAACAGGAUAUAAAAUUUAGAGAAAGUAAAAAAGAAAGCUAAAGACACAUAAGAACUAUAUAUUUAAAUUAUUUUCAUCUUUUAAUUUAACAAAAGAAUAUCUUACAAAUAGAUUUUUUUUUUUGUAAUACACAUUCCUGUUCGUCUGCCACUUCACCUUGUAUAUAUUUCCUACCUUUCCUGGAGUUAUAUGUUUUAGAGAGUCAACUGCUGUCGGAUAUAAGACCAUAAUAAAAUCAAUAUUCUAUGCAACUGAAUAUUCUAUGUUUUCUUUUUGCCUCAUAUCUCCCAGACUUGAAGGUGAAAAAGCCAGAAACCCAAAAGAACCAGUGGGCCCCAAAAACUCCCCAAAAACGCCUGUUCUUCCAGGAAAGAGGAAGCCAACAAGACAAAGUUUUUAGACAGUAACCACUCUUCUCUAGCCAAACACCACAUAAAAAACUGGGGCCCUACCUCCACCCACAUCAACAAAGCCAAGUGGGAAACCUAGACUUCCAACUUUGCCAAGCUACAACAAAGUACUCUAAUAUCCCCAUCAGGGUAGGAUCAAAGAAGGCCAAGUAGGGAGACAGGAUUUUCAUCCCUGUCCAGCAGUAUAGAGCCCUACCUCCUCCAUACAUUAUAACAGAAGAGCCUAUACAGAGUUAGGACAUUCACCAUCACUCAGCAAUAACGAGGCCACAGUGGCAUCAGUGGUGAUCACAUGGAAAACCUGGACUUCAAUCCAUGACCAGCAAUAACAAGGCACUCCCCUCCCUCCAAACUCCUCUGCUAUCAACAGAGGUCAGAGAGGGAAGCUGGACUUCUGACUCCACCUGGCAGUAAGAAGAGAGUGUCCCUUCCCCCUCACAUGCCAGAGUGGUAUCUAAAAAAGCCAGCUAACAGAAAAGGUUUAAGUACAUAAACAAAUAUUUAUAAUAAUUUUAUAUUAUGUUUACUUAUAUGUAAAUAAAUGCUAUAGCUUAUAUUUAUAAAAUCGUAAUUUAUAAGUAUAAGUAAACAACAUUUAUUACUUAAUAAAUAAAUCCAGAAUCUCACAAUACAAAAUUAUCCAAGUUUCAAAUGAAAAUCAUCUGCCAUACAAAGAACCAGUAAGUCCUCAAACUGAAUGAAAAAAAGACAACAGAUGUCACCACCAAGAUAACAGAAAUGUUAGAAUUCUCUGACAAAGACUUUUUAAAAAUCAUCAUAAAAUUACUUUGCUGAACAAUUAAAGACAUGCCUGAAACCAAUGACAAAAGAGAAAGCAUCAGCAAAAAAUAAUAAAAAGUCUCAGCAAAGAAACAGAAAAUAUAAA